ensembl:lncRNA
AAUGUACAUUGGCAUAUCAUUGUCACCCAAAUUUCAUAGUUUAUGGUUCACUGUUGGGGUCGUAUAUUCUAUGAUUUUGGACAAAUGUAUAAUGACAUGUGUCUAUCAUCAUGAUAUCAUCAGACUAGUUUCACUGCCCUCAAGUUCCUCCAUUCUCCACCUGUUAUCUUUCUGAACAGCUUCUGAUAAUCACAGAUCUUUUCACUGUCUCCAUAGUUUUGCCUUUUCCAGAAUGUCAUGUAUAUGAAAUCAUCCAAUACAUAGUCUUUUCAGAUGGCUUCCUUUGCAUAGUAAUAUGAAUUUAAGUUUUCUCCAUGUCUUUUCAUGGCUGUUAAACCAUUACUUUUUAGUGCCAAGUAAUAUUUCAUGGUCUUUAUAUACCACAGUUUAUUCAUAAGCCUACUAAAGGAUAUUUUUGUUAUUUUCGAAAUUUGACAAUUAUGCUUCCCUAGUGGCUCAGAUGGUAAAGCGUCUGCCUGUGAUGCAGGAGACCUGGAUUCUAUCCCUGGGUCAGGAAGAUCCUCUGGAGAAGGAAAUGGCAAUUCACCCUGGUAUGCUUGUCUGGAAAAUUCCAUGGAUGGAGAAGCCUGGAGAUGCAGUAAUCCCUGGGUUGUGAAGAUGCCCUGGAGGAGGAAAUGGCAACCCUCUCCAGUAUUAUUGCCUGGGAAGUGCCAUGGACAGAGGAGCCUGGCGGGCUACAGUCCGUGGAUCGUGAAAGAGUCAGACACGACAGAGCACACAGCACAGAUACCAUGGGAGAAAUUAUGUUAACGCAGUCUCCAGCCUCCCUGUCUUUGACUCCAGGGGAAAUAGCCACCCUCACCUGCAGGGCCAGUCAAAGUAUUAGUAGCUACUUAAGACUGGUACCAGCAGAAGCCUGGGAAGGCCCCCAGAUUCUUCAUCUAUGCUGCCUCCAGCAGGGCCUCUGGCAUCCCAGCCCGGUUCGGUGACAGUUGGGUCAGGGACAGACUUUACUCUCACCAUCAGCAGCCUGGAGCCUGAAGAUGCUGCAGUUCAUUCCUAGUGCUAGCAUAAUAGCGGGAAUCCAGUGAUUCAACAUGAUACAAAAACCUCUGUG